CAGCCUCUGGGCUUCAGCAUGGCUGGAUGGGAGCGGUCUGGGGCUGGGGCAGGCCCUCUGCCUUCCCUUCCUGGGCCCUGAAUCUCCGUCUCCCUUUGUCUGCCCCGCCUUGGUGGCUCCUAGAUGUUCCUCCUGGCAGCGGAUCCUUACGUCUCCUCCUUCUCCCACAGACCUGGUCCAAUUCGGCGCACUCUCCUCUGGAGAUGACGGGCGUCCCCAGGCCCGGCUGGACUUCGGCCAGGCUCCAGCGCCUGGUGUGAGAGGAAACAUCCUUUCCAGCCCUGGCAGCACCAUGGCCCCGCUCAGCUGCUGCCCACUGGCCUGGGGACUCAGAGGGCCCAGCUUCUGCCCUGCGAAGUCCACCCGGGCAGUUUGGCAGCACCCUUCAGAGGCCUCCUGGGCACUGUGCUCCACCCCGGGCGAGAGCCGCUGAUGGCCUCAGUAUGGGAGAACCCCCUACCCGCAUGCCCACCUGCCUGGCACUGCCCACUCUAAGGCCUGUGAGCUGGGUCGACCUGGAGGUGCCAACCCCGUGAACCAUUCCCCCUCCUAGGGAUCCCUGACCACCCCCACCAUGUGUGAAGUAAUGCCCACCAUCAAUGAGGGGGACCCCCUGGGGCCCCCCCACGGGGCGGAGGCUGACGCCAACUUUGAGCAGCUGAUGGUGAACAUGUUGGAUGAGCGGGAGAAGUUGCUGGAAUCCCUGCGAGAGAGUCAGGAGACCCUGGUGGCCACCCAGAGCCGGCUUCAGGACGCUCUGCACGAGCGGGACCAGCUUCAGCGCCACCUGAACUCCGCCCUCCCCCAGGAGUUUGCCACAUUAACCCGGGAGUUGAGUGUGUGUCGGGAGCAGCUUCUGGAACGGGAGGAGGAGAUCUCAGAGCUGAAAGCUGAGCGGAAUAACACGAGGCUGCUGCUGGAACAUCUGGAGUGCCUUGUGUCCCGUCACGAGCGAUCCCUUCGGAUGACAGUAGUGAAGCGUCAGGCUCAGUCCCCCUCUGGCGUCUCCAGUGAAGUGGAAGUGCUCAAGGCCCUUAAGUCUCUGUUUGAGCAUCACAAGGCGCUGGAUGAGAAGGUUCGGGAGAGGCUCCGGGCAGCGCUGGAGCGUGUGAGCACCUUGGAGGAGCAGCUGGCAGGUGCUCACCAGCAGGUAUCUGUUCUACAGCAGGGAGCAGGGCCCCGGGAUGGGGCUUCAGGAGAAGACGGGGCCCUGGAGUUGGGACCAAGACUCUUAUGGAAGGAUGAAGCAGGCCGGGCGGGGGAGCUGCAGGAGCGCCUGGACAAGCAGACCUUUGAGCUGAAUCAGGCCCGGGAGCGCCUGGUUGCCCUGGCUGGCACGGUGGCCGAGCUCGAGGAGGAUCUGAGCACUGCCCGCAGGGACCUCAUCAAGUCGGAGGAGCUGAGCAACAGACACCAGCGGGACCUCCGAGAGGCUCUGGCGCAGAAGGAUGACAUGGAAGAGAGAAUCACCACGCUGGAGAAGCGCUACCUGGCGGCCCAGCGGGAAGCUACGUCCAUCCAUGACCUCAACGACAAGCUGGAGAAUGAACUGGCCAACAAGGAGUCCCUGCAUCGCCAGUGUGAGGAGAAGGCCCGGCACCUGCAGGAGCUCCUGGAGCUGGCGGAGCAGAAGCUGCAGCAGACCAUGCGCAAGGCCGAGACGCUGCCCGAGGUGGAGGCCGAACUGGCCCAGAGGAUCGCCGCCCUCACCAAGGCUGAGGAGCGGCACGGCAACAUUGAGGAGCACCUUCGGCAACUGGAGGCCCAGCUAGAAGAGAAGAAUCAGGAGCUGGCCAGGGUACGCCAGCGGGAAAAGAUGAAUGAAGACCACAACAAGCGUCUCUCGGACACUGUGGAUCGGCUGCUAAGUGAGUCCAAUGAGCGGCUGCAGCUACACCUGAAGGAGCGGAUGGCUGCCCUCGAGGAGAAGAACACGCUCAUCCAGGAGCUGGAGAGCUCCCAGAGGCAGAUUGAGGAGCAGCACCAUCACAAGGGCCGCCUUUCAGAAGAGAUUGAGAAGCUACGCCUGGAGGUGGACCAGCUGAAGGGUCGAGGGGGGCCAUUUGCAGAUGGCGUCCAUUCCAGGUCCCACAUGGGCAGUGCUGCGGACCUUCGGUUCUCUAUGAGUGCCGGGGCCCACGCUCCCCCUGGCCCCACCCCCAGCCUUCACCGCAGGUUUUCUGCCCUUCGCGAGGAGCCCACCAAGGACUGGGAGCCCUCGCCGCUCUCCGGGGGGCUGGCUUCCACGGCCGCCCCCGCCUUUGACAGUGACCCCGAGAUCUCCGAUGUGGAUGAGGAGGAGCCCGAGGGCAUGGUGGGCUCCGUGGGCGUCAUCUCUCCCAGCGGCCACUCGGACGCGCAGACCUUGGCCAUGAUGCUUCAGGAACAGCUGGACGCCAUCAAUGAGGAGAUCAGGAUGAUCCAGGAGGAGAAGGAAUCGACCGAGCUCCGGGCGGAAGAGAUCGAGACACGGGUAACCAGUGGCAGCAUGGAAGCGCUGAACCUCACCCAGCUGCGCAAGCGCAGCUCCAUCCCCACCUCGCUGACCGCCCUGUCUCUGGCCAGUGCUUCUCCACCCCUCAGUGGGCGCUCCACACCCAAACUCACCUCCCGCAGUGCCGCCCAGGACCUGGACCGAAUGGGUGUCAUGACCUUGCCCAGUGACCUGAGGAAGCACAGGAGGAAGCUGCUGUCACCAGUGGCUCGGGAAGAGAACCGAGAAGAUAAAACCACCAUAAAAUGUGAGACUUCUCCUCCUUCCUCACCCAGGACUCUGCGGUUAGAGAAGCUUGGCCAUCCGGCCCUGAGCCAGGACGAAGGCAAAAGUGCCGAUGACCAAGGCAGCAACCCCAGCAGCAGCAACAGCAGCCAGGACUCCCUGCACAAGGGCACCAAGCGCAAGGGCAUCAAGUCCUCCAUCGGGCGGCUCUUUGGGAAGAAGGAGAAGGGCAGGCUGAUCCAGCUGAGCCGAGAGGGAGCCACGGGCCAAGUCCUCCUGUCUGAGUCGGAGCUCAAUCUGCAGGAGCCCCUGGUGCCUGCCAAGCUGGGAACCCAGGCUGAGAAGGACCGGCGCUUGAGAAAGAAACACCAGCUUCUCGAGGACGCACGCCGGAAAGGAAUGCCUUUUGCCCACUGGGAUGGCCCCACUGUGGUCUCAUGGCUGGAGCUGUGGGUGGGCAUGCCGGCCUGGUACGUGGCUGCCUGCCGAGCCAACGUCAAGAGCGGGGCCAUCAUGUCGGCCCUCUCAGACACGGAGAUCCAGCGGGAGAUCGGCAUCAGCAACGCCCUGCACCGGCUCAAGCUGCGGCUGGCCAUCCAGGAGAUGGUGUCUCUGACCAGCCCUUCAGCCCCGCCCACCUCCAGGACGUCCUCUGGGAAUGUCUGGGUCACCCACGAGGAGAUGGAGACACUGGCAACAUCCACAAAAACAGACAGUGAGGAGGGCAGUUGGGCCCAGACGCUGGCUUAUGGAGACAUGAAUCACGAGUGGAUUGGGAAUGAGUGGCUCCCCAGCCUCGGGCUCCCCCAGUACCGCAGCUACUUUAUGGAGUGCUUGGUGGAUGCCCGCAUGCUGGAUCAUCUCACUAAGAAGGACCUUCGGGUCCAUCUGAAGAUGGUGGACAGUUUCCAUCGGAGCAGCCUGCAGUAUGGCAUCAUGUGUCUGAAGAGGCUUAACUAUGACCGAAAGGAGCUGGAGAAAAGAAGGGAGGAGAGCCAGCAUGAGAUCAAGGAUGUGCUGGUCUGGACCAAUGACCAGGUGAUACACUGGAUCCAGUCCAUCGGGCUGCGGGACUAUGCCGGCAACCUUCACGAGAGCGGCGUGCACGGGGCCCUCCUCGCUCUGGAUGAGAACUUUGACCACAACACCCUGGCUCUGGUCUUACAGAUUCCCACGCAGAACACCCAGGCUCGCCAAGUGAUGGAAAGGGAAUUUAACAACCUCUUGGCCUUGGGCACAGAUCGGAAGCUGGAUGAUGGUGACGACAAGGUAUUUCGCCGUGCCCCCUCCUGGAGGAAACGCUUCCGCCCCCGGGACCCCCACGGAGGGAUGCUCAGCACCUCGGCUGAGACCCUUCCCACCAGCUUCCGAGUCUCCACUCUGGGGCCCUUGCAGCCCCCCCCAGCUCCGCCAAAGAAGAUGCUGCCAGAAGCUGGGACAUCAGGGUCACAGAGACUGGAGACCUCUACGGUUCGGACCUACUCCUGCUGAACUCCCCCCUACCUUCCCUACCCCGGGUCUGACGGGGGGUGUGCCCGUGGCUCGGGUUCAUUCCCACUAUCUCUACGGACACAUGCUCUCCGCCUUCCGGGACUAGCCACGGCCCCAGCCGGCCUCCUCCUCGGCCUCCCGGCCUGGCCGGCCCUAUCCUCCUCCUGCUUGUUCCCUUUCCAGUAGCUCCCAGUCUUGUCUGUGACUUUCCACUUGCCCCCGGAUCUCAGCAUAUACUCAUCCUCGAGCUCUGACCCCGUCCCCUGUGUCCAUGUGUUUCCCGAGGCUUUGGUGGGACCUCUCUGUGCCCCAGGUUUCGGGCGCUCUCAGACUGCAGGGGAGAGAAGGCAGAACGCCCGGGGAGGUGGAAGCAACCCCCCUCCCUCUGCUGUGCUCCCCCGGCCUUGGAGCCAGGGCCCGGCCCAUGGCACCAGUAGAGCAGUGUGGACUGUGGCUCCCGGGGAAGAGAAGCCCGUGUUGUGGCUCUGGUCUGCUUUCUUCCUUCUGGGGAGGGUCUCCCAGGCCUGGAGAAUGUGUCUGCCUAACACCUGAUUUUGACUCCCUAUGACAACUUCUCCAUUAGCAAUAGCCACAGACCCAGCUCUCAGGACUUCCUGGGGGUUUACAGGGACCUUCUGAGAAGGCAGCGGAGCAGAGCAAAGGGCUUCCCCGCGGCUCGGGGCAGAGGGAAAGAGCGGGAGAGUUUCCACCAUCACAGUAGGUCCCCGCUCAGUCUCUCUGGGAUCCAAGCCCCGGGCCCGGCCAGAGAACAUGGGGGGAAGGGGCUGGCGCUGAUGUGGAAGAAGGGAUGAGAAGAAAUGGAAUACAGAACUGCAGGCAAGCGUCCGCCAGCAAUGGGACAUUCAGGCAGGAGGGGGGAGGGCAGCCUGUCUUCCAUUAGCAAUAAGCUGCCCGUGGCCACAGGGCCUCUCCCCUCUCGCUCACUGCCCAGGCUCUGGCAGCCCCGGGGGCGGUGGGUCCUAGGGGAACGUCAUCAGUUCUCACUGGCUCCCAGCCCUGGGCAGGGCGGCAGGCGGGGGUGCUCCUCCACUUGCCCUGAGCUCUCCCCAAGCCAUGGGAAUAGGAGGGAGAUGGGAGGAAGAGAGGGGAGAGCAGAGGAACUUCUUGGAAGACGGUGACUGCCCUCGUAUCCUUUGUGGCUCAGAAUCUGAUGGACCCCCAGUCUCCAACCCUCGGACUCCUGUAGACUCUUCUUUCCCUCUGCCCCGAGCCUGCCCUCUGUCCUGGAGUAUCCCAGGAAAUCCCCCUCAUAUUCUUUCCCCACCCAGAAGUAUUGCAGGUGCCUAGAGUUUAUGUUAGCAGUGAGUGAGUGGGGAGGAAGGUGGAGAGUCCGGGAUCGGGUUUUAGAGUAAGGAGCCAGAGAUGCUGACCGCUUGCCUGGGACCUCUGCAAGCCACUGUCCUUCCGGGGUCUCUCUCUGGGAGAGGGCUCAAGUUUUAUUCAGGUAGGCCUCCCUCUGGGACUCGAGGAGCUGUGUGCUGGUUUAUCUGCUGGGCUUAGAAACCAGGUAAACUGAGGCACAGAGCUACCUGUCUCCCGGAGGAGGGGUCCAGAAUGGUGCUAGCUCUUGGCCUGGUCUUCUGUCUGCUUUGUGACGGAAGGAAGAGGAGUGCCAAACCUCUGCUUGCACGGGCACUUCUUCAGCCUGGGGAGCUCAGGAGUUCUUGCAGAGGUUUAGGUGGUGGUCCCUGGAAAGGCCCUCCUCUGUCCUCUGGGACUUCUCUUAUGCUCAUUGCUCCCCGCUUCCUUCCCACCAGGCCGAGGGAGAUAUGGAGCUGGAACUUUUAAUCAGGAAAUGGGCCGGAAGGAGACUAGGCUGAGAGAAGAAACUGUUGCAAUACUAGACUGCUGGGUUGUAGAGUAUUAAAGAGUAAGAUCCUGGGAUUGGGCGUCUAGGAUCAUGGGAUUGCAGUGCUAUCUGAAUACUUUAAAGGACUUAGUUUUUCUCUUUUUGUAAACAUCCCACUCUAAAUGGGCUGUGCCGAAUGAGAGACUGGGCCAAUAGCUGCACCUCCAGCCCCACCUCUCUAGGACCUUGAGCUGCCCUGGCUGGCCUGAUCCAGGGGCAGAAGCUAGAGAGUCUCCAUCCUUCCAAGGGCUGUGGGAAGCGGGGGUCUGCGGUACACCACGGCGGUGGGGUCUUGUCUCGGUGUGUACCUUGCUUAAGACUCCAUCUGUUUUUUUAUUUGAAGAGUCACUAGUGACCCCAGCCCCCUUACCAGCCUCCUCUGUCUCGUCAGGUCUUCCUUCCUCAGUACUGUAUCGGAUCACUGCAUCAGGAACGGGUGUGCGACGCCCCUCUGUGCGUGUGUGCGUGUGUAUGUGUGUGUGGCAGGGGUGUGUGUGUAACAAUAAACAACCCGGUUUUAAAACAACAUA